AGCUGAAUUCCUGUUGUUUGUAUGGUGGUCUCUUCUAAAUCCCACAUUCUAUCACUGGUGAGUGAGAGCCAGCUCCCUAUUCUUGGAAGUAAGUCUAUUUUUCUGGAUUUUUGUCUAGUUGCCAGCCCUGAGUCCUCAGCUCUCUGAGAUUUUAUGCCCAGGGUUAUCACGCAUAAAGAACAAAUCUGGACUUUGGAAUACACAUCGUAACAAACAGGUCCACUCCAAAGCUCCACCAACUUUAGCCUGGAGAUUGGGUCCUAGUCACCAGACAAUGCCAGGGAGCGCUGAAGGGUCCCUGUGCUACAGAGUGGCAGCGUGGAGCCACCGCACACCCACACGGUUUGCAGUUGACGACAACCCUGGCCAGCAGGAGAAUUCAGCCUCAAGACUCCCUCCUGUCUCCCACUGCUGGGCCCCUACCCAUGCCCCAGGGAUACCACAAAGACACAGCCCUGUUACCGUUUUCAUGAAACUUCAGGAAGCCUCAUGAUCGCGCCUUCUAGUCACCAGAGAAAGGGGAGAAUGAGAGACCAAAUUUGGGGGUUCAGACUCCAUCUUAGAGAACCUGAUCUAAGUUUGAACUCAAGGCCAGUACCUAGCAUUAGUUUCCAAGUUAACCCUCCAACAAAAACCGUGCCUACCUCCGUCCAGUUCCUUGGCUAACCCCAGCAAGACCUGCGUUUCCAGGUUAAUCUCCCCCAACAAAUUUGCACCUCCAGCUUACAAGGCCACUCCUGCCUAACAACCACCAAUUAGCAAGAAAUCAGAAGUUAAGUUUAUGGUUUGGCUCCCAGCACAGCCAAUUAUGCUAAAGGCUACAGGAGCACACCAGUUAGAUGUUUGCCAGGCUAGAAACACGUACCCCUUGCUUGCCGUUUUCUAUAAAAACCUUGUCUAGGC